rnacentral:rRNA from 1 species
CCCUCGGGAAACUGAGGUUAAUAUCUGAUAGGAGAUUUAUACUGGAAAGAUUAAUCUUUAAAAUUCGAGCCUAAGGAUGGGGCUGCGGUGGAUUAGGUUGUUGGCGGGGUAAUAGCCCACCAAGCCUUUGAUCCAUAGGGGCUCUUAGCGGAGAAGCCCCGAGAGGGAAUCUGAGACACUAUUCCCAGCCCUACGGGGUGCAGCAGUUAGGAAUAUUCUGCAAUGCGCGUAAGCGUGACAGAUUGAGUCAGAGUGCGCUUCAAUUUGGAGUGCUUUUGCUAAAUGUAAAAAGUUUGGCGAAUAAGGACUGGGUAAGACGAGUGCCAGCCGCCGCGGUAAUACUCGCGGUCCAAGUCGCAGCCAUUUUUAUUGGGUCUAAAACAUCCGUAGCUUGCUUGGUGAGUUCCUUGUGAAAUUCUAUAUCUCAAAUAUGGAGCGUACAGGGAGUACUGCCAAGCUAGAGACUGGAAGACGUAACGAGUACGUUUGGAGUAGCGGUAAAAUGUGUUAAUCCCGGACGGACUAACAAUAGCGAAGGCACGUUACGAGGACAGUUCUGACAGUAAGGGAUGAAGGCUAGGGGCGCAAAACGGAUUAGAUACCCGUGUAGUCCUAGCAGUAAACACUGCACACUAAACAUUAGUACCUCCUCGAGAGGUAUUGGUGCUGAAGGGAAGCCGAAGAGUGUGCUACCUGGGAAGUAUAGUCGCAAGGCCGAAACUUAAAGGAAU